UCCUCGAUGGUGUAAUGGUCAACAUCGGUCGCUCUCACCGACCAGCUCUGGGUUCGAUUCCCAGUCGGGGAG